rnacentral:rRNA from 1 species
UACGAAGGGGGCUAGCGUUGUUCGGAAUCACUGGGCGUAAAGGGCGCGUAGGCGGCCGCUCAAGUCGGGGGUGAAAGCCUGUGGCUUAACCACAGAAUUGCCUUCGAUACUGUUUGGCUUGAGACCGGAAGAGGUGAGUGGAACUGCGAGUGUAGAGGUGAAAUGCUUAGAUAUGACAUAGAAUACCCAUUGCGAAGGCAGCUAACUACGCGAGAAUUGACGCUGAGGCACGAAAGCGUGGGGAUCAAACAGG